UGUGGCCGACCAGUCUGUCUAGUUGAAAAUUAAAUUUUUCAUCACCUCGACAAUUCCCACGCUGCUACCCAUUCGUUCUGAAUAAAGUCCUUCAUUCACUUCGGGGAUUUCCACAGAGCACUGGAUGUCUCGACGGCACACAGAUUGCCAUCAAAUCGGCUUCCUUCAUCAGCAUGUGUUUGUCUAAUGGAAGGGCUUCCAUUCUCUGAAUGUUCAAGCCACAAGCUACGCUAAACUACGGAUCAAAGCCUGCUGCUCAAAGACCUCAAGAAAUAGAGUGUUGUCAGUGAGGAUCAGAUCGUCAAUACUUCACAUUAAAUCCCAGGGUUCGCUGUUUCGACUUCUCUGAGCCACAAGUUCCUCCAUGCAAUCAAAAGCUGUGAAGUCCGUCUCCAAGUCAAAUUUGUUCGCCACGAAUUCUGGUCUCUCCUUGAGCCAAGGCCUAUUUUAAAUCAACUAUAGAGGGUCUCCGUGACCGAGAUGAUUGGCGUGCCAGCGCGGCGCAAUGACCCAGGAGCCUCACACCAUUGUGGCCUCAAGUACAGCCAUCAGAGAUAAAACGUGUAGUAGCUCGAAGGAAUUUAUGGCACUUUUUUAUCAGGCGUCUUCAGCUGAGGAUUUCCAUCAAGGUCAUUCAAGGUCGCCCAGUAAUGCUCGUCAGGACUGUAGGUGUGGCUGCACCAUUUCAAGAAUUUGAUUGGCAGAGGAUCACGAAGGG